rnacentral:rRNA from 1 species
UACGGGGGGAGCAAGCGUUGUUCGGAUUUACUGGGCGUAAAGGGCGCGUAGGCGGCGCAACAAGUCACUUGUGAAAUCUCCGGGCUUAACCCGGAGCGGUCAAGUGAUACUGUCGUGCUAGGGUGCGGAAGGGGCUACUGGAAUUCUCGGUGUAGCGGUGAAAUGCGUAGAUAUCGAGAGGAACACCUGCGGCGAAGGCGGGUAGCUGGGCCGACACUGACGCUGAUGCGCGAAAGCCAGGGGAGCGAACGGG